rnacentral:rRNA from 1 species
AGAUUAAGUUAUUAAGGGCGCACGGUGGAUGCCUUGGCACUAGAAGCCGACGAAGGACGUUACUAACGACGAUAUGCUCUGGGGAGCUGUAAGUAAGCCCUGAUCCAGAGAUCUCCGAAUGGGGAAACCCAGCAUGAGUUAUGUCAUGUUAUCCAUAUAUGAAUACAUAGUAUAUGAGAAGGCACACCCGGAGAACUGAAACAUCUAAGUACCCGGAGGAAGAGAAA